UUGCAGCAUCUAGAUUUGGAAAAGGAAUUAGUCUAAUGGAAAAUGAUUUUAUAUUUUUUCCAGUCAACAAACCCCAACAUUGGUCACUAUAUGUAAGGAGUAAAUGUAUUCGAAGCACAGUGAAGUCCAUUGAAGUGAAGUUAUGACAGUUAUACAGUGGAGAGUGCAUUAGUGGUUUUUUGAAUCAUCAGCAGAAUAAAUUUGUAAAUUCAGCAAUAGAUAACAAUACAUGGAUUGAGCUUGAUGACAUGGUAAUGAGAAUACUAUAUAAUAGUAAGAAUGCUUAUAUGUGCAUGAAUUGCUUUUAGCAUGUAGUCAGGCAUGGCCUGACCCUUGCGAAAACAGAGGGUCAGGAACCUCGUAUAUACCAGUCUUGUUAGCUGCUGCAAAAAUUCUGCAGUGACGCAUUGUGACUCGCUAUGACUAUUAACUUUAAUAAUCAUUAAUAAUUGAAAAUGGAUGUUGGUGCUGUAGCUGCUAAUCUUCUUGGUAUCCAUUCUCUGCAUUUGCAUAUUCUUCCAGACACUAUAAAUUGUGACGUAAAUAAAAAAUCUGUAUAUAUGUUGGGAAAAUUCACUAAAACAAUAAUUUGGUCAGAGAUAGUUGCUUCUUUAAUAAUAAAUAAAUUUGAUGUUACAUAUCAAGUGGCAAUAGAGGCUGUCAUUAAUAAUACUAUUCCAUCCUAAUUUUAUUCUUUUAUGUUAAAUUGUUCAUGUACUAGUAAAUUUAUGCAUUAAUUUAUAGGCUUAGAAAGGAUAUUAAAUCUCGACUGGUUG